AAAACAUGUCUUUUUGAUAAAAAUUUAAAGUCAGGUCUGCUCACUGAAUUAUUUUAAAGAGCCGCAGUAUAUUGACUGUGCAAAGGUAGCAUAAUCAAUAGUUUUUUAAUUGAAAACUAGAAUGAAAGAUUAGACGAGAAAUUAAUUUUCUUUAUUUUAAUAAAUUUAAUUUUAAAUUUAAGUGAAAAUGCUUAAAUAUAAUUAAAAGACGAGAAGACCCUAUAGAUUUUUAUUAUUGAAAUAAAUUUUUAAAUUUAAUUUAACAAAAUAAUUUAAUUGGGGCGAUUUUAUAAUAUAAAUAACUUAAUUUUUUAAAACCAUAAAUAAUUGAAUAUUUGAUCUAAAAUUUUUAAAGAAAAGAUUAAAUUACCUUAGGGAUAACAGCGUAAUUUUAUUUAAGAGUUCAUAUCUAUAAUAAAGUUUGCGACCUCGAUGUUGAAUUAAGAUAAUAUAUUGGAGUAGAAAUUAAUAUAAUUAGUCUGUUCGACUAUUAAAUUCUUACAUGAGCUG
rnacentral:rRNA from 1 species